GGGACUGUAAAUGAACGCUGAUGCUUGAAAGGGUGGGUAUCAAACAGGAUUAGAUACCCCUGGUAGUCCCCCACCAGUAAACUAUGAAUACUCGCUGUGGGCGAUACACAGUCAGCCGCCAAGCGAAAGCGUUAAGUAUUCCACCUGGGGAGUACGCCGGCAACGGUGAAACUCAAAGGAAUUGACGGGGGCCCGCACAAGCGGAGGAACACGUGGUUUAAUUCGAUGAUACGCGAGGAACCUUACCCGGGCUUGAAUUGCAGCGGAAUGUAGUUUAAAGAUUACAGCCUUCGGGCCGCUGUGAAGGUGCUGCAUGGUUGUCGUCAGCUCGUGCCGUGAGGUGUCGGCUUAAGUGCCAUAACGAGCGCAACCCUUAUUUUCAGUUACUAACAGGUCAUGCUGAGGACUCUGAAGAGACUGCCGUCGUAAGAUGUGAGGAAGGUGGGGAUGACGUCAAAUCAGCACGGCCCUUACGUCCGGGGCUACACACGUGUUACAAUGGGGGGUACAGAAGGCCGCUACACAGCAAUGUGAUGCCAAUCCCAAAAACCUCUCUCAGUUCGGAUUGGAGUCUGCAACUCGACUCCAUGAAGCUGGAUUCGCUAGUAAUCGCGCAUCAGCCACGGCGCGGUGAAUACGUUCCCGGGCCUUGCACACACCGCCCGUCAAG
rnacentral:rRNA from 1 species